rnacentral:rRNA from 1 species
GACGAAGGGGGCUAGCGUUGUUCGGAAUUACUGGGCGUAAAGCGCGCGUAGGCGGCCCGGUAAGUCCGCUCUGAAAGUCCAAGGCUCAACCUUGGAAUGCGGGUGGAUACUGGCAGGCUUGAAUCCGGGAGAGGGAUGCGGAAUUCCAGGUGUAGCGGUGAAAUGCGUAGAUAUCAGGAGGAACACCGGUGGCGAAGGCGGGUCUCUGGGCCGAUAUUGACGCUGAGGAGCGAAAGCGUGGGGAGCGAACAGG